rnacentral:lncRNA from 1 species
CAACAGGAGGCCUGUCCCCAUCACUGAGGUUGAGGGGACUGAGGACGAAGCCCGGCAGGCCGCAGCGCCAGACAGGACCAAAGCAGCAGAAUCGGAGACAGGAGAAACAUCAACAACAUCCACAUCAACCCCAGCCCCACCAGAUACCCACUGUGGAGGAAGAGGAGGAGGAGGAAGAGGAGAGGAGGCAGUAACCAUCAACCUCAAGCCCUCGAACGCCUACGAGUUCAACCAGUCCCUGAACGCAGCGCGGACCCAGUCCGACCUCCCAGCCUGCGCUGAGCUGCUGAGCUGUGUUCCCCCUGAGACUCUGCCCGUCUACCUCAGUAAUCAGCUGGAUGGACACACGGUCAGCUUUGUUAUGCAGGCCCUGGAAACACAGCUCUUACGGAAGGAGCCUAACUUAGUCUACCAGCACCUCAACCACCUACAUACUGCUGACAGGUUCUCGGUCGUCGUGAUGCUCCUGGAGAAGAGUGAACGUGAUCAGAUGACUCGACUGUUUGACCGUCUGUCCGCCGUGGACAGUGAUGCCUUCAGUAAGAACGACGUGCAGAACCUGGCCAACAAGUACAUCUGACCUCGUCUGGCCCUGCUGGAGCACGUCCCAAAUAGGCCCCUAUUUACCUAGUGCACUAUGGAGGGAAUAAGGCGCCAUAAUGGGACGGUCGUAAGACGCCUAUCAACAUCGCAAGCCGACUUUAAAAACGAAUCCAGACUGGAAAAAUCACCUUUCCGUCAUAAAUAAAGACUAAAUAUUAUUUUGGUAGGUCAAGUCUUAAUUUACCCAUGAUUACAUCGCGUUGUUUUGAUGAUGUUCUCGAACUCGACCCCUUCGUUCUGGCGUGCACCUUCCUGUCGUACGCCGAAGCGUCCCGACGUAACAGACAGGAUCUAUGCAACGUUGGACAACACGACUCAGAAGCUGCUGAACGUACUGGGGAGCGUUAUGGACCCAAAACCCACCUCUUUCUUUCUCUCAAGUUCUCUCGGUAUAAUAUCACGUCUCUACCUACUGUUACUAGGUAUCUCUCUCUCCAAAUACCUUUUAUAAUAUCACAUCUCUACCUACUGUUACUAGGUCUCUCUCUCUCUCUCUCUCUCUCUACCAGACCAUUCUCUCUCUCUCUCUCUCUCUCUCUCUCUCUCUCUCUCUCUCUCUCUCUCUCUCUCUCUCUCUCUCUCUCUCUCUCUCUCUCUCUCUCUCUCUCUCUCUCUCUCUCUCUCUCUCUCUCUCUCUCUCUCUCUCUCUCUCUCUCUCUAAAUACCUUUUAUAAUAUCACAUCUCUACCUACUGUUACUAGGUAUCUCUCUCUCCCUCUCUCUCUCUCUCUCUCUCUCUCUCUCUCUCUCUCUCUCCAAAUACCUUUUAUAAUAUCACAUCUCUACCUACUGUUACUAGGUAUCUCUCUCUCCCUCUCUCUCUCUCCCCCUCUCUCUCUCACACACACACACACACACACACACACACACACACACACACACACACACACACACACACACACACACACACACACACACACACACACACACACACACACACACACACACACAACCUGGAAGUGUUUUAGCUUUAGUUGACUGGCAAGUAAAUGUUGAAAUGCUGUGAACUAUUUAGCUUUUAAAACAUUGAUUCAUAGGUCCAAUGUACAAGAUAUCUUUCAAGCAUUCCCCUUCUGGGUCCGUGUGCUGCGUCCAGGUCCAUUCUCCAGGCUGGCAGAACCAUUAAAAUAAAAAAAAAGACAGAUAACACCCAUAACAAUGUAUGACUACUUUUCCAGGCGGUUUGACUGGCCAAUAGAGGUUGAUUUGUACCCGGGUUAGAAAUUUAAAAAAAAAAAUGGGGAAGGGGGACAAUGAAUUCCAAGCUAGGAGACAUAACGACUUGAAUUGACUGGGCUAGCGUUAGCCCCAGAUGCUAUUCAGAAAAACAACACUUUGUAUUACAGCUUUUACCAUCCUGAUAUUAAAGUAGAUUAACGCAUGCUGCAUAUCAGAAUAUUAACCAAGUGUAUAACAAUCCAAAAAAAAAACUAUUUCCUCUGGGGGUUCAAGGAGUCUUUACCAUCCAUUCUCUGUCUAGAAAUACAAUGCUAGUUUUGGAAGUUGCCUCAGUUCUGUGUAUGAAAACAAUGAUGAAUGAAGCAACUUACAAUGUGCACAAUACUAAAUGGGUAUUAUACAGUACUGCAAUUCAAGGUAAAUGCAAAGUAAUUGUGUAAAAACAUUUGUCUUUUGAAGAAAUGACCAGAAGUUAUGAAAAUGCCCCAGCCAGUCAGCCAGCCAGCCAGCAGAGCACCCUUCCAUCUGCAGUAAUCAGAAGUAUAAUGCUCUGUAACAUGCAGCCAGCCAGCCAGUCAGCCAGCCAGCCAGCCAGUGGAGCACCCUUCCAUCUGCAGUAAUCAGCAGUCUAAUGCUCUGUAACAUGCAGCCAGCCAGCCAGCCAGCCAGCCAGCCAGCCAGCCAGUCAGCAGAGCACCCUUCCAUCUGCUCACAGUGGAGAGAAGACAAGCAGCAUCUUUGUCAGAUGUGCCUUUGGAGUUCAGCUUUUGGAUCUACACUGUUCUGUUGUGUACCCAUUUCAGAUGUUCUGUUGUGUACCCAUUUCAGAUGUUCUGUUGGGUACCCAUUUCAGAUGUUCUGUUGUGUACCCAUUUCAGAUGUUCUGUUGGGUACCCAUUUCAGAUGUUCUGUUCUGUUGGGUACCCAUUUCAGAUGUUCUGUUCUGUUGGGUACCCAUUUCAGAUGUUCUGUUGGGUACCCAUUUCAGAUGUUCUGUUCUGUUGGGUACCCAUUUCAGAUGUUCUGUCGUGUACCCAUUUCAGAUGUUCUGUUCUGUUGGGUACCCAUUUCAGAUGUUCUGUCGGGUACCCAUUUCAGAUGUUCUGUUGGGUACCCAUUUCAGAUGUUCUGUUGGGUACCCAUUUCAGAUGUUCUGUUGUGUACCCAUUUCAGAUGUUCUGUUGGGUACCCAUUUCAGAUGUUCUGUUGUGUACCCAUUUCAGAUGUUCUGUUGGGUACCCAUUUCAGAUGUUCUGUUGUUCUGUUGGGUACCCAUUUCAGAUGUUCUGUCGUGUACCCAUUUCAGAUGUUCUGUUGUUCUGUUGUGUACCCAUUUCAGAUGUUCUGUUGUGUACCCAUUUCAGAUGCCCAUUUCAGAUGUUCUGUUGGGUACCCAUUUCAGAUGUUCUGUUGGGUACCCAUUUCAGAUGUUCUGUUGGGUACCCAUUUCAGAUGUUCUGUUGUGUACCCAUUUCAGAUGUUCUGUUGGGUACCCAUUUCAGAUGUUCUGUUGGGUACCCAUUUCAGAUGUUCUGUUGUUCUGUUGGGUACCCAUUUCAGAUGUUCUGUCGUGUACCCAUUUCAGAUGUUCUGUUGUUCUGUUGUGUACCCAUUUCAGAUGUUCUGUUGUGUACCCAUUUCAGAUGUUCUGUUGGGUACCCAUUUCAGAUGUUCUGUUGUUCUGUUGGGUACCCAUUUCAGAUGUUCUGUCGUGUACCCAUUUCAGAUGUUCUGUUGUUCUGUUGUGUACCCAUUUCAGAUGUUCUGUUGUUCUGUUGUGUACCCAUUUCAGAUGUUCUGUUGUGUACCCAUUUCAGAUGCCCAUUUCAGAUGUUCUGUUGGGUACCCAUUUCAGAUGUUCUGUUGGGUACCCAUUUCAGAUGUUCUGUUGUGUACCCAUUUCAGAUGCCCAUUUCAGAUGUUCUGUUGUUGCAGAUUUAAAAACAUUUAAAAUGACUUGUCAAAAUGUUAGUGUGUUCUUCUUUCUAAAAUGAAUGAAUGUACCGUGUUGAAUUCAGGGAGACGAGCGGAGCGGCAGCUGUUUGUAGCCUGGAGCAAUAGCUGCAUGGUCAGCGGGCUAGUGGCUCAGGGAGGGGGUCAGCAGCUCAGGGAGGGGGUCAGCGGGCUAGUGGCUCAGGGAGGGGGUCAGCGGCUCAGGGAGGGGGUCAGCGGGCUAGUGGCUCAGGGAGGCGGUCAGCGGGCUAGUGGCUCAGGGUGGUUGUCAGCAGGCUAGUGGCU